rnacentral:rRNA from 1 species
AGGACGAACGCUGGCGGCGUGCUUAACACAUGCAAGUCGAGCGGAAAGGCCCUUCGGGGUACUCGAGCGGCGAACGGGUGAGUAACACGUGAGUAAUCUGCCCCUAGCUCUGGGAUAGCUCCGGGAAACCGGGAUUAAUAUCGGAUACGACCACUUUAGACAUCUGUUGUGGUGGAAAGAUUUUGGCUAGGGAUGAGCUCGCGGCCUAUCAGCUUGUUGGUGGGGUAAUGGCCUACCAAGGCGACGACGGGGUA